GCAUCACCUCUUCCCCUCCGGCCAUGACGAGCUCUGCCCUCUCCGUCGCGAGCGGCGGCGGUGCAUCUCAGCGGAGGUUCCAGGAAGACGCAGGUCUGAGCUCUCCUCUUCUCCGCCGAUCUGUGCCGCUGUUUUCAGCCGCCGUAGGCGCCUCCAUUCCCCGUCGCAGCCGCCUCUGGUUCCCACCUCAGCCACCUCUGGUUCCCACUUGUCCCCAAAUCCCAUCUUAUCUAUCGUCUCUCUUCCUACUCAGAUUAGCCCAGGUGGGCGAGGCCAUGGUGACACAGAAGGACGCCGCCGUACGAAUUGACGACGAGGCAAAACCCUAGGACGUGAACACGUGCGAGUUCAAUAGGAGGCGCACAACUCUGGUCCAAGCUGCAGCGUCCUUGCUGCUGCAUCAGCCAUUUGCCGGCGGUACUGCGUGUAUUCGCAACCGCAGGUCACCUCUCCAGCCAUCUGCAAGGUAAAGAUAGUCAUGAACAUGUCCAGAUUGUUAACUCGGUUACCCCCGAUUUGGCAUCUGGGGGCAGAGGCAUGUCUGACAAUUCAAACAAUAAGUUUAUGCUAGCCUGUUGCUAUCUCCUACACUAUGGAGGAAGUACUAUUGAACAUUGGGAGUCUGAGAGUGCGCUGCAUAUUAUUUGGUGUGAAAAAGAAUAGAGUGAAGAAUUGAAGAGGAUCAUGCAAUCAGUCAGCACUCAUCAAUGAAAAAAGGAGACAGGAGACAGUAGGGCACUAUUUUUGUGGAUUUGUCCAUAUAUUAUAGAGGAUGGUGCACUACUGAAUACAAUCAGCGGCUAUCUCCUGUUGCAUUUCUUCUCAUCCGACAUAUGAGGUCCAUUUUAUGGAUCAGUUCUCUGUGUGGCAGUAAUUCAAGGCCAAAUAUGUACCAUGUUUCUUCAAUGCAUGGAAAGUAUUUCCUUUUGCCUUUUUAUGUUUGUACAUUCAGAGAAAACUUCAUACAUUUUAUUGCUGCAUUGCUAGAUUUCUUUUAGGAGAAAAUAUAAUUUGGUUUUAUUUAUUUCUGGAUCAAAAACUUUAGGAUACCUAUCAUUUUAGUUUACCUUGCUAGAUUAGGCUGAUUAGUACUGUUGUUUUCUUGCAGGUGUGCUUCUCAUUCUUUUGUUGCUAUGUACACUCGCCCAGGUGUGCUUUUCAAGGUUUAUAUUAUUCUAAUUUGUGGUUAUUGAUUUUGUCUUCUGGUGUCAAACAACAAUUAGCAGAGUGGUUUGGGGAAGUUGAGUAGCCAGUUUAGCUUCCGCAAUUCAUGUGUAUUCUUUAUGCUCUGUCAUGCACACAAGAUUACCUUUCCUGAAUUUAGCUCCAACCAACAGUAAGUACUGCAUCUACCUUUAACAAUUUUGCAAUUUAUGGAUUGAAGGAGAUUAAGAAGUUUCUAAUUCAUGAUUACCUCAUUCGUUUCUCUCAAAUUCCAUUUACUUGCGAGGUCACCAUGCUUUCUGUUUUUUCCUUUUUAAAUAGUUAUGAUGCACUCCGUCUCUCCCUCAUGCGGCUCUGGCUGGCAUGGCCUCGCUCGCCUCGGUCUUCGUCGGCUCCGGUGAGGCGGGCCGUGGGUGUCAGCCCCGUCCUUCAUCGGCGGCGCGCUGGCAGUCCCGGUACUCUCUCUGCCCGCCACCCUCCCUCUACCCUGCCUCUUCUCCUUCCAGUUUUUUUCAUCCCGUUUGCUUUUAUGUGUGUGUCUCUCUACUGCUUGGGAGGGGAAAAGAUGGAGUUCGUUGGGAGAUGGGUUUGUGCUGGGAUCCCCUCUCCCCCAUGGCAUUACUGACUAAAUCCUCAAGGCCUAUGAAAUUUCUUCAAGUUUAGGUCUGGAAUCAUCUCCUUCUCCCCGUGCAGCUCAUCCUCGCCGGCAGGAGGAGCAUGGGCCGCGGCCGUCACCUGCCAUGGCACCCCCGUCGUGACCCUCAACGCCAAGAACAAGUCCACUUGCAGGCUAGAUGCGGGUCAAUUAUAAUCGCAUGGGACUACCAACUCACAGGUUUAUCUCUCCCUACUAAUCCAGGUGCAUCUCCAUAGUCAUCUUGCCCUCCACAAUUUUAUUUCAUAAAAGGUCAAGGCCAAGGUAAAAGUGCAGCCAAACUCCUCCUAUCUGAUUUAGCCCCUAGAAUCUAGAACAUCUCAUCUUUGCUUAUGCAAAUCUGUUUUGUCUAUGACUAGGUGCUCGAUUAAAAUCCUUGCUAAGAUAUGUUAUAUUUAUGCUCCACUGUACCAGGAUGUUAAGGAGAGAGAUUUUAUGUGAGCUUAUAUUCUAUACUUCUAUCCUUUCUCACUAACAAUGAAUGUGUUGUUCUUCCUGGUUCGGCUAGGCAUGAAGCACAAUUAUCCCUAGAAGCUUUUGGGAAUGUCUUGGCCAAUACAGGCUGUGAUAAGAUGUGUGACUAACUAUGUCCAGAAGCUUUUGGGAAUUCUCACUAACACAAUUAUUCACGCUUUAUUUAAUGCUUGCUUAUCACAUUGGCACAAGUUUCCUGACUGCUCUAUUUACUCUCUAUGCCAGUUUUAUUCGUUCAUGUCAAUGGCCUGGCCAUUACCAUUAUGUGUUACAGCUUGGUUGACGGUUUUUUUUUCUCCUGCUUGUUGCUUUUUUUUCGGUAAUGUCAUGUACAUAUCAUAGUCUAGGAAAAACCUAGCCGGCAUGAACUAGAAUGAGUAUGCACUGUGUUUCGGCAACCAUGUGGCUUGAUCUCUAUAUGUUUCCCUCUUUUCAUUACUAUUGCACAUAUCAUUGAUUGUGUUCUUUGUCAUCUGUUGAAUUGGUCCAAAACUAAGUUCAUUUCUUGUAAUGAAAAAUCAUUGAAUUACUGUCUGAAAAUAAUAACAUUUUCAUUUGUUUUAUCAAUGGAUGAAUCUCCAGACUUGGGUUUCCAAUUAUGCUAUAUCCAACUAAAAAUAUUUCUUUGGUAAAUUCAUGCUUGACUUACUUGGGAAGGUAUUGUUGUGUAAACAUGAAAGCUUACUUUUUGUGCAGGUAAGAAAAGUGUCCUAUUCUUCCAUGGAAUGUGCGCUGGUGUUCAGAUGCAAGCUUGAUAAUCUCUAUGUGAUAUGUAUGUAGGUUUAUUUUUUGGUAUGGCUAGCUCUAUUGUGCACCUCUUUCCUAAUGUAUGAUGCAUUUAUAUGGCUACUGUGUUUCAUUAAUUUUCGUUUUCUCAGGGCUUACAUCGACCAUCACUUAACUGCAGGAGCGAAACUACAUUCAGGGAAUUGGCUUCAGAGAUCUACAGAUAUUCAGCGCUCAAGCUUCCUGCAGCAGUUGAUGCAGUUGCAGAUACAUCUUAUUUAGCUUAGAUCAUCCUACUGCAUUAUUAUGUAUAUUUUUUCGUUACCAGUUUGCUCUAUACUAUAUUACUAAAGAUAUUUCCUUCAGUGUGCUCUCUGUUUAGUUGUAGUCAGCGUAUUGAGGUCUGUCCUUUAUCUCAUUUGUCUUUGUACUACUCCAGAUCAUCAUAGCCAGUUCACUUAGUGAUGACCUUUUCAGUUUCACCUUAUUCAGUUUUUUUACUUUGUGUUAUUUAGUUUUUUUACUUUGACUUUUCAGUUUCACCUUAUUCAUAUGGGCGUAAUGUGCAAAAUUCAGUGUAUCAGGCAAACUGAACCUAAAAUUCAGAACACUGUGCCUGCCCUUCACCAACUCCUCUUUGUGCUUGAUGUUGACCGGCGGUAGAGCUCAAUCGUCGUUGGAACCAACCAGCAAGAGAAGAAAAAUAGAAACACUAAAUUACAUCAGCGAGAAAGAGAGAAACCUGCAGCGCCCUUGGAAUCUUCAGCAGUGGUCGCAACACAACUGGGCUGGAGCUCAAAUCGGUAGUUGUUUCGUUGCUCAACCUGGGUUAGAGACGAACCCGAGCUGAGCUCUGGGCGCGGAGAAGUCAGAAGACGAACUCCAGCAGCCAUCUGACAACUCGCCACCCGCCACUCCGUCGUGGCAUCGUCGGACCAGACGGCAAGAGCUUUGGGGAAUGAGAAGAAGUGUUGAGAAGAAUCACGGAGUUUGGUCAAUGACUCAACCGAUUGGAUUAUUUGGGCCUCCUGGGCUAAAGGCCACGGUAGUACAAGUAUUAGGGGUACUAGAAAAUUUGUAAUUUUGCUAGAGGGCCACGACCCAGGUUGGCUGUGUACAGAAUGAAGUUU